AAGCAAGAAGCAAACAUUGCAAUCAGUUUCGACCUGAUCUUAGAUAAUUAUUGAUUAUCCCUGCUUU
rnacentral:tRNA from 1 species